rnacentral:rRNA from 1 species
AACGAACGUUGGCGGCAGGCCUAACACAUGCAAGUCGAGCGAGGACUUCGGUCCUAGCGGCGGACGGGUGAGUAACGCGUGGGAACGUGCCCUUUGCUUCGGAAUAGCCCUGGGAAACUGGGAGUAAUACCGGAUGAGCCCUUUGGGGGAAAGAUUUAUCGGCGAAGGAUCGGCCCGCGUUGGAUUAGGUAGUUGGUGGGGUAAUGGCCUACCAAGCCGACGAUCCAUAGCUGGUUUGAGAGGAUGAUCAGCCACACUGGGACUGAGACACGGCCCAGACUCCUACGGGAGGCAGCAGUGGGGAAUCUUAGACAAUGGGGGAAACCCUGAUCGAGCCAUGCCGCGUGAGCGAUGAAGGCCUUAGGGUUGUAAAGCUCUUUCAGCUGGGAAGAUAAUGACGGUACCAGCAGAAGAAGCCCCGGCUAACUCCGUG